GACUCCGUCUCAAAAAAAAAAAGAAAACAAAACAAAAGUGUAUGUCUUUUCUCUUAUUAAUCAAUCUGCCUCAUGUCUGUCAUUUACAGCAAACCUAUAGGGGACCAAGAGCUUUCAGUCCCCAAGAAGAGCUUCUUGAGUUUAAACCAAAAAUUUAAAGAGCGAAAUCCGGCCGGGCGCGGUGGUUCACGUCUGUAAUCCCAGCCGUUUGGGAGGCGAAGUCUGCAGGUAUACCCAGCAGCUCCGAAGAGACAGCAACCAUCAAGAACGGGCCAUGAUGCAAUGGCAGUUUUGUCAAAAAGGAAAGGGGGAAAUGUGGGGAAAAGAAAGAGAUCAGAUUGUUACUGUGUCUAUAUAGAAAA